UCCAUGGAGACAAAGGCAAAUUCACAGGCAGGAAAAUGCAGCUAUUCCAAGAUUCUUGGAGGAUCUUCUCUUAUUGUGAAGCUCAUCAUCAUCAACUAAGCAGACAGUUUUUGAGAGAAUGCACAAUUGGCAGUGAGUCAUCUUUAUUUCCUUCAGCUUGAGCACAGAGAAGCAAAAGGAGAGAUUAAGACCAAGGAUGGGAUCAGCCUGUGGCGGGAAAAGUCAAACUGUAGCAAACCUUCUGGGCCAAUCCAUCUGACUGGCUGUGCAGGGGAUGGGGCAGCCUGGAUAAUUGAUGGACUCAAUCUGACCAGGCACAGGUGGCACGGAGACGGCAUACAGCAGCUUCUCGGGUUUGCCAGUGCCAUCUGUUGCCAUAAGAACAUCUGUCGUCAAGGUCACCCUGUCACCCUCUGUUAAAGUUACAGGUUUGUUGUGAAGAAUUAAUAAUAAUAACACGAAGAAUUACUGAAUAAUUAAAAGAAAAAGUACGCAUAAUUUUAAAAAAGGACUUCCCUGUAAAAGGUUUGCCAAAAGAUUAUUGUCAUUGUUCUCUCUCGCUAAAACCUUAGCUCAUUUCA
rnacentral:lncRNA from 1 species